rnacentral:lncRNA from 1 species
AAAUAGGACAGUCAGAGCAAGGACUUGGGAACUGGAUGCAGACAGCCUCACAGAAGACAAAAACUGAAGUCUACAGAGUAUAGUUUGGUGCCACUUAGAAAGCUAUAAUGUUGACUGGAAAUGAGGAUCUUCCACAAAGUCCUAGGCAGAAUGAAGAGACCAGAUUCAUGAGUUCGACAUCAAAAGAGAAGAAUCCUGCAAGAGUUAGAUUGAGAGAGCAGUGCACACACCCUCCUAACUUUAAAGCAUAGCGAGUACAAGACAUCUCAUGAUGAGGUAACUGCACCAUGCAGCUCUGCCUGGGACAGACCUCAGCAAGUAUCUCUCACAGCACAGCUAAAGCACCUUGUCAUGGGAUGACUCACAACAUUAGGCAAACUGAGGGACAACCAGGGAUUCCUGGGACAGAAGAAAAAGGAGAAUCCCAGCCUCUACUCCAAACUGUUUC